rnacentral:tRNA from 1 species
UGCCUUGGUGGUGAAAUGGUAGACACAAUUGAUUCAAAAUUAAUCGCUUCAUUUGAAGUGUGGGGGUUCGAAUCCUCUUCAAGGCAG